GAUGAACGCUGGCGGCGUGCCUAAUACAUGCAAGUCGAGCGAACAGACGAGGAGCUUGCUCCUCUGACGUUAGCGGCGGACGGGUGAGUAACACGUGGAUAACCUACCUAUAAGACUGGGAUAACUUCGGGAAACCGGAGCUAAUACCGGAUAAUAUAUUGAACCGCAUGGUUCAAUAGUGAAAGACGGUUUUGCUGUCACUUAUAGAUGGAUCCGCGCCGCAUUAGCUAGUUGGUAAGGUAACGGCUUAACAAGGCGACGAUGCGUAGCCGACCUGAGAGGGUGAUCCGCCACACUGGAACUGAGACACGGUCCAGACUCCUACGGGAGGCAGCAGUAGGGAAUCUUCCGCAAUGGGCGAAAGCCUGACGGAGCAACGCCGCGGGAGUGAUGAAGGACUUCGGAUCGUAAAACUCUGUUAGUAGGGAAGAACAAAUGUGUAAGUAACUAUGCAGGUCUUGACGGUACCUAAUCAGAAAGCCACGGCUAACUACGUG
rnacentral:rRNA from 1 species